GGGCUCUGAAAAUCCCUGAAAUCACACAGCAGAACAAACAAGAGCAGGCAGCAGAGCAAACAGCAGAGCUCGCUAAGGAACUGGGUCUCACAGCCUGACGAACAGGAUAUGUGAUAAUGCCUACUCAAGGGCCCUCUGGUGGGAUGGGAACAUUGGAAAGCCCUGUCCUCCACAGUCCUCCAUGGGGAAUGCAAUACACAAAUCAGCAAAUCAGCACGUAUCCUCCCACACCAACGUCCACUGAGUAAUUUGCCACUUUCUGCAACAACCACUGGAGCCCCAAUGCGGCACGAGAAGAGGGCAGAAGGCAUUAACAAGUCCUCUAGGCCACCCAUGGGCUUGUUUCAGGUGAGACUCCUGUGAAAUCCUAAGGUCACAUCACGAUGUUCCCAUUAACUUGGUCUCAGAGUGAAUUCCUUGCAACUGUAGCACUCAACACUGUACUUUCAAUAAAUCUGCACAAUACAGCUCCUAAAGCCAACUUUCCUAGUCCAACUCCUCUUCAUACUGCCCAUGCUCCUAACACACAGUUUAGUACUGUUCUUU